UCCGGUGAAGUGUUCGGAUCGCGGCGACGUGGGCGGUUCGCCGCCGACGACGUCGCGAGAAGUUCACUGAAACCUUAUCAUUUAGAGGAAGGAGAAGUCGUAACAAGGUUUCCGUAGGUGAACCUGCGGAAGGAUCAUUG
rnacentral:rRNA from 1 species